CCGUCUCUCUCUCUCUCUCCCUCUCUCUCUCUCCCUCCUUGGACCUACUAGGCCCAAUGCAUCAGCCUGCGCGGGCACCGGACUCCGGGAGUCGGCAGACGGUGGUGGUGGCCGCGAAUCGACCGCCGCCCUCCGUUCCUUGCCGCUCAUGGGCGGACACCCGUGCCGAAUGCUCCAGUGUUCAGCGCAGCGCACGGGAAUCCACGGGGUCCCAUCGAGCGCGCAUUCCCCUGGCCGUCGCUCUCCCGUGACCCGCCGUGAUGCGCGCGCGCGGGGGCGGCACCGGCCGUGACGCCCGAGCAGGGCGGAGGAAGGCGACGCCCACCGUCGUGGCGGCGCGGGAGGAAUGGGACGUGCGCUCGUUCGCGAGGAGAUACUGUGGUGGACCACGAGGGUCACAGCAUACACACGCCGCCUGUUCGAGAGAAUGCCUGAACCAAGGUGUGCCAGUGAGGUAAAGGCCCGUGCGAUGCUAUGGGAACACAACUGUUUGACUUGAGGGAUAGAUUGACUCUUCUUUUGUUGGUAAAGGCCCGUGCGAUGCUACGUGCACACAAUUUUUAACAAAAUAAAUGUAGUAAGAAGACAAUAGACAUAUUGUUUAAGCCAUAAAUUUCACCUAGACAGUUUUGGUGGUAAAUGCCCUUUGGCUGCUGUGUGCAACACGGACAAAAGGUCAUGGCUGCAUACCUGAAUUUUUUCCCCCGAGUUAUCCUGUCACUAUUUUAGUUUCCACAUGGUAUAGAUGUCUAAUUUUUUUUCUAUGCCAACAUAUUGUUUUGGUUUUUGUCAGGAUUUCUGUUACUGAUACAUAUAUCGUUUAUAAAUUAGCAGAGAGAAAUUUGAACCACGAUGGACAGGACAGGUGCCGCCUUGAGGAAUCUAGCAAGUAUAUGCUCAGUUCUCUACGUACAUGUAUAUGCCGUCCUGAUUUUUUUUUCUUUUUACAGAGCCUCCUGAGUCUUGACCUGCAACUUUAUUAA